CACGACUCUCGGCAACGGAUAUCUAGGCUCUCGCAUCGAUGAAGAACGUAGCAAACUGCUGAUAGUUGGUGUGAAUUGCAGAAUCCCGUGAACCAUGGAGUCUUUGAACGCAAGUUGCGCCCGAAGCCGUCAGCCGAGGGCACGUCUGCNUGGGCGUCAC
rnacentral:rRNA from 1 species